AAUGGAGGCAACUCUGACGCAGCCAUGCCGCGUGCAGGAAGAAGGCGCUACGCGUUGUAAACUGCUUUUAACCGGGAAGAAACCCCAGGACGUGUCCUGGGUUGACGGUACCGGAGGAAUAAGCACCGGCUAACUUCGUGCCAGCAGCCGCGGUAAUACGAAGGGUGCAAGCGUUAUCCGGAUUCAUUGGGUUUAAAGGGUGCGUAGGCGGGGUGGUAAGUCAGUGGUGAAAUCCUGCGGCUCAACCGUAGAAUUGCCAUUGAUACUGCCAUUCUUGAGUAGGCUCGACGUGGGCGGAAUGUGCCGUGUAGCGGUGAAAUGCUUAGAUAUGGCACAGAACACCGAUAGUGAAGACAGCUCACGAGGGCCAAACUGACGCUGAGGCACGAAAGCGUGGGGAUCGAA
rnacentral:rRNA from 1 species